AGUGAACGCUGGCGGUAGGCCUAACACAUGCAAGUCGAACGGCAGCACAGUAAGAGCUUGCUCUUACGGGUGGCGAGUGGCGGACGGGUGAGGAAUACAUCGGAAUCUACUUUUUCGUGGGGGAUAACGUAGGGAAACUUACGCUAAUACUGCAUACGACCUACGGUUGAAAGCAGGGGAUCUUCGGACCUUGCGCGAUUGAAUGAGCCGCUGUCGGAUUAGCUAGUUGGCGGGGUAAAGGCCCACCAAGGCGACGAUCCGUAGCUGGUCUGAGAGGAUGAUCAGCCACACUGGAACUGAGACACGGUCCAGACUCCUACGGGAGGCAGCAGUGGGGAAUAUUGGACAAUGGGCGCAAGCCUGAUCCAGCCAUACCGCGUGGGUGAAGAAGGCCUUCGGGUUGUAAAGCCCUUUUGUUGGGAAAGAAAAGCAGCAGGUUAAUACCCCGCUGUUCUGACGGUACCCAAAGAAUAAGCACCGGCUAACUUCGUG
rnacentral:rRNA from 1 species